GACAGAGGGUGCAAACGUUUGUUCGGAUUUACUGGGCGUAAAGAGCGUGUAGGCGGCCAGGUAGGUCUGCUGUGAAAACUCGAGGCUCAACCUCGAGACGUCGGCGGAAACCAUCUGGCUAGAGUCCGGAAGAGGAGAGUGGAAUUCCUGGUGUAGCGGUGAAAUGCGCAGAUAUCAGGAGGAACACCGGUGGCGAAGGCGGGUCUCUGGGCCAUUACUGACGCUGAGGAGCGAAAGCGUGGGGAGCGAACAGG
rnacentral:rRNA from 1 species